rnacentral:rRNA from 1 species
AUUGAACGCUGGCGGCAUGCUUUACACAUGCAAGUCGAACGGCAGCACGGGUGCUUGCACCUGGUGGCGAGUGGCGGACGGGUGAGUAAUACAUCGGAACGUGUCCAGAAGAGGGGGAUAACGCAUCGAAAGAUGUGCUAAUACCGCAUAUGCUCUGAGGAGGAAAGUAGGGGAUCGAAAGACCUUACGCUUUUGGAGCGGCCGAUGUCUGAUUAGCUAGUUGGUGGGGUAAGGGCCUACCAAGGCGACGAUCAGUAGUUGGUCUGAGAGGACGACCAGCCACACUGGGACUGAGACACGGCCCAGACUCCUACGGGAGGCAGCAGUGGGGAAUUUUGGACAAUGGGCGCAAGCCUGAUCCAGCAAUGCCGCGUGAGUGAAGAAGGCCUUCGGGUUGUAAAGCUCUUUCAGUCGAGAAGAAAAGGCUGCAGUGAAUAACUGUAGUUUAUGACGGUAUCGACAGAAGAAGCACCGGCUAACUACGUG